rnacentral:misc_RNA from 1 species
GAUAAGAACGUAGCGAAAUGCGAUAAGUAAUGUGAAUUGCAGAAUUCAGUGAAUCAUCGAAUCUUUGAACGCACAUUGCGCCCGCUAGUAUUCUGGCGGGCAUGCCUGUCCGAGCGUCAUUUCAACCCUCAAGCCCCCGGGCUUGGUGUUGGGGAUCGGCGAGCCUCCGCGCCCGCCGUCCCCUAAAUCUAGUGGCGGUCUCGCUGUAGCUUCCUCUGCGUAGUAGCACACCUCGCACUGGGAAACAGCGCGGCCACGCCGUUAAACCCCCAACUUCUGAACGUUUGACCUCGGAUCAGGUAGGAAUACCCGCUGAACUUAAGCAUAUCAAUAAGCGGAGGA